UACGUAGGGGGCAAGCGUUGUCCGGAAUCAUUGGGCGUAAAGCGCGUGUAGGCGGCUCGGUAAGUCCGCUCUGAAAGUCCAGGGCUCAACCCUGGGAUGCGGGUGGAUACUGCCGGGCUCGAGUCCGGAAGAGGCGAGUGGAAUUCCCGGUGUAGCGGUGAAAUGCGCAGAUAUCGGGAGGAACACCAAUGGCGAAGGCAGCUCGCUGGGACGUGACUGAACGCUGAGACGCGAAAGCGUGGGAGGCAA
rnacentral:rRNA from 1 species